UACGAAGGGGGCUAGCGUUGCUCGGAAUCACUGGGCGUAAAGCGCACGUAGGCGGACUCUUAAGUCGGUGGUGAAAUCCUGGAGCUCAACUCCAGAACUGCCUCCGAUACUGGGAGCCUUCGAGUCCGGGAGAGGUGAGUGGAACUGCGAGUGUAGAGGUGAAAUUCGUAGAUAUUCGCAAGAACACCGGUGGCGAAGGCGGGUCUCUGGGCAGUAACUGACGCUGAGGAGCGAAAGCGUGGGGAGCGAACAGG
rnacentral:rRNA from 1 species